rnacentral:lncRNA from 1 species
GAAAAGAUCCAAGGAGCUCAAAAUCCAGCCGACAUGCUUACAAAGGCAGUAACCAUUGAUAAAUUGAAGUUGUGCUCAGCUUCAAUUGGUUUGCUAGAAUGACAAAGACAGAAAGGCUGCUGCGUUGAUCGAGGUGUGAAGACAGAUUGAAAUCAGUCUUCAAGUGGGAGAUUGUUAGUCAAAAGUGGCUGCCACCAACCUUCUUCACCAACCACCUCACACCAACCACCUCACACCAACCACCUCUCACCUACCACCUCCAAAUCUUCCUAUAAAUAGAGAGCUCUUCUGCAGCAUCCUACACAACAACACCAAACAACCAUCAAAGCUUUCUGCUAGAGAGAGAUAGAGAAAGAGAGAGAGAGAGAAAAAUCUUGUGAGAGAAAACUUCAGUGUGGAAGUUAUACACGAGUGAUAAAAGUGAGUUGAGAGAUAGCCUCUGCGUAGGCAUAUACAAAAUACAGUGUGGUAUUUUUGUUGUACUCCUCCUUUUGAGAUUCUCUAAUAUAUUGGUGUGGGUCCGUGGACGUAGGCAGUUUGGCCGAACCACGUUAAAAAUAUCGGUGUCAUUUUUUCUUCUCGUUUCAUAUCGGUCGAUAUCCACAAUAUUGAGUCACACUUGAUCCCGGGCGGAAUUAGUUGCGUCUAAUUUCCUAACA